rnacentral:rRNA from 1 species
GACGAACGCUGGCGGCGUGCUUAACACAUGCAAGUCGAACGGAAAGGCCCUGCUUUUGUUGGGUGCUCGAGUGGCGAACGGGUGAGUAACACGUGAGUAACCUGCCCUUGACUUUGUGAUAACUUCAGGAAACUGGGGCUAAUACCGGAUAGGAGCUCCUGCUGCAUGUUGGUGGUUGGUGAGUUUCGGCUGUUGGGGAUGGACUCGCGGCUUAUCAGCUAGUUGGGGUGGUAGUGGCUGACCAAGGCUUUGACGGGUAGCCGGCAUGAGAGGGUUACCGGCCACAAUGCGCCUGAGAGACGGAGCAGACUCCAACGGGCCGCAGCAGGGGGGAGCAUUGCAGAACGGGGGGGAGCCUGAUGCAGCGAUGCCGCGUGCGGGAUGCUCGGUUACGGGUUGUAAACAAAUUUCGCCGGAGCUGUAGAGUGCUUGACGGUACUGGGUAAAGAAGCAACGGCUAACUACGUG